rnacentral:tRNA from 1 species
GGUAGUAUGGCUGAGUGUAAGCGGUAAAUUGUAAAUUUACCAACAAGGGUUCACCCUUUGCUGCC